rnacentral:misc_RNA from 1 species
AACUGUAUCUCGCUCCCGGUGAGACCUCUCAGUCUCCUCCCACAAGGGUGGGCGUCUGUCGUCCGAUCCCUCGUGGGUUUUUCCUGGUUCCUGUGCUGCGUGCCCGUGGAAUGGUAGUUCGGAGUCCCGUUGUCCCUAUCCGCCGGAUGCCUCCCCAGGGCUCCCGGCGGAACUCUUGGCGUGGCCCCGUGUUCCCGGCACUCUCUGCACCUUGUGGUGCUGCCGUGGUCACAUGGUGCUCUCGCCUGUCCCAUCGGAUGUGGAAGAAUCGCGUGGGCUCGGGGUUUCGGUCCCUAAUCUGUCCGUACAAAGCGCUUUGUCGCUCGACAUGCCUGACGUCCUCGCGGUGCCGCGCCCUCCCUCGUCCCCAUGUGGGCUCGUCGGGAGACGGCUCGUGCGUCGCGGGUGUCGUAGAGGAAUGCUACCUGGUUGAUCCUGCCAGUAGUCAUAUGCUUGUCUCAAAGAUUAAGCCAUGCAUGUGUAAGUAUGAACCAAUUCGGAC